rfam:Triticum aestivum genome assembly, contig: Triticum_aestivum_CS42_TGACv1_scaffold_621476_7DS
UAGAUACUCCCUCCGUCCGGAAAUACUUAUCGUAAAAAUGGAUACAAAUGGUUGUAUCUAGAACUAAAAUACAUCUAGAUAUAUCUAUUUCUUAGACAAGUAUUUCCGAACGGAGGGAGUACUUG